UACGUAGGGUGCGAGCGUUAAUCGGAAUUACUGGACGUAAAGCGUGCGCAGGCGGUUCGUGAUGUCUGGUGUGAAAGCCCCGGGCUUAACCUGGGAAUUGCAUUGGAAACUAGCGGGCUGGAGUGUGGCAGAGGGGGGUGGAAUUCCACGUGUAGCAGUGAAAUGCGUAGAGAUGUGGAGGAACACCGAUGGCGAAGGCAGCCCCCUGGGCUAACACUGACGCUCAUGCACGAAAGCGUGGGGAGCGAACAGG
rnacentral:rRNA from 1 species